AAAGAAAGAGCUCACUACAAGGGAAGGCUGGGAAAAAGAUAAGAGAGUUGUUCUUGAAAGAAGAAUUCACAAAUGUCUCUCUUGAAUCAAGGAACUUUGCUGACAAGAAAAACCAAAUUCCUUCUUAGCCAGCCAAGUUACAAGCCAUGAAAAGUCUUUGUGAUGACAACCUGGUUGUGAGUAUGUUUGAUUGUGGUUAAAUGAAAGGCAAAAUUAAUUUAUGUGACAUUGUAACAACAGAGAGAAACACCAGACCAUACACCUGUGAGUUGAGUGAGACACUUUUGAAUGCUUGAGUGAUAUAUUUUUU
rnacentral:lncRNA from 1 species